GACCCGUCUUGAAGCAAGGAGUCUAACAUGUGCGCGAGUCAUUGGGUCCCACUUACACCCAAAGGCGUAUUGAACGAAAAGGCCGUCCUCCGCGUCGGCUGAGGGAAGAUGGGCGUCCGCUCGCGGGCGCCCCGCAUUCCCGGGGCGUCUCGUGCUACCGUCGCUCGUCGGCGGGGCGCACCCAGAGCGCACACGUUGGUACCCGAAAGAUGGUGAACUAUGCCUGGCCAGGACGAAGCCAGGGGAAACCCUGGUGGAGGUCCGUAGCGAUUCUGACGUGCAAAUCGAUCGUCAGAGCUGGGUAUAGGGGCGAAAGACUAAUCGAACCAUCGUAGCUGGUUCCUUCCGA
rnacentral:rRNA from 1 species